CCCGGCUAACGGUCUCUCAGACAGACACUGGCUGCGGUCCAGAGCGCACCGCUGCAACAUCCAUCCUCAACAGCUCAGAGCCGGAGUAAAGGGGGUGGGGGAGAAAAAACACCCAAACCCAACAAAACCCCGGCGUGCAACACGGGGAGGAGCGCUCACACCGACAGAACAUGCCAUCAGAGGAGCCUGGGAGCAGCUGGAAAGCCAACAGGCCUUCUGCACGUUUUUCUUUCUCCUCCAGCCUUCCCCCCCUGCUUCUUCCACUAACGGCUCACGUGCAGACAAAACCACGCUUGCAUUGAAAGGAGACAAAGUUAUGUCUUGAAUUAUGCCUACAGCAGGAAGGAGCUGUGCUGAGUUGGUGAAAAUGCCUAAGGAAAAGGAAGAGGAGGAAACACAUUCCAGAAGCCCAAGUCCAAAGAAAACCCUGGCUUCGGAGGGCCUGACUCAGCUGGGAAAGCAGUGCCAGCCUUAUCGGAAAGGUGCAGCCUUCUUUAAAAGGUGCGGUAGACCUCGAAUGCUGGAAGGUGCAAGUGAGAGAGGACCGGUGGAAAAAACCCCGGUCAUCCCCAGUUCCCUCUCCCUUUCAGCAUCCGCUGUCUGCCACUGCGAGACACGAGAUACUGGGAGAGACGCACCUAUGCUCUGACCCAGUAAAUGGCAGUUCUUAUGUGCAGCGCCACGGGUCUAUAUCUGCUCGGAGGGCUUGUCCACACACAGCCAGUUUUUGUUCUUCUGUAGACCGUAGCUUCCCAGUGGAGGAUGCAGCUGUAGGGGUAUAACCUGGCAUAACUAGUCCCUUAAUGGGAUAAGUAAUGCUAGAAUAAGGCUCCUUAUAUCUGCGUACUCCAGGGUUUGCUCUGAUAUUAAACCAAGCAACAUACUUCAACAUAUAUAAGACUGUGGAUAGACCAGAACUAAACCCAUGUGAAAAGGAAUAGAGUCUCGGUCCAAACUGCUCCAGUUUACAGCCACAACUUCUGGGGUUACUGCUCCAACCUCCUGCAGGCUUACUUUGCCUUUUCUUAGUAAGGGAACUUCCACACGCGUUUCUCACCAUUUCCCUUUGGGGACAAGAGUGACUCCUACAAGGUAACCGCUGAGCAGUUGCUGUUGUCAAGCAGUUCAUAACAACCUUAUCGGGAAAUGCUUUCCAGAAACAGUGCUAUUUUGAGGCGAGGAAGAAAAUAUGUGAAUCAGGUUUUUUCUUUUGUUUUGUUUUUCUAAAUUCUCCGAUUUAUUUUCUACUACGGCGAGAGGCUGCUUGCAUCGAAGGCUGGGGAGAGCUUUGCAGGUAAAGCAGGAAAUCAAUUUUUUCUAUGUAAGAAAAUUACAAUGUAUCCUCCCCAGAAUUACAGCAUAGAUUCUUCAAGCAGUGAAUGGGUUUAAAUAGCGAUUGAUUUCUUCUGAGCUUUUCUGAUUAGGACUUUGUAGCGGGACUGGCACUGGACUGAGCCAGCAGACCUCGGUUUUGGUCUCAUCUCUGGUGGGUGACUUUGCGUAACUCAAGGUACGGCUCAGUGCCUCAGUUUCCUUCCUUGGGAAAAUAAUAGCCCAUCUUUGUAAAGCACUUGCAGAUAUCAGAAUAAAUAGUCCAUAAGUAGAGUUAC